UCGCAGAUAUACUUCUUUUACUACCUUGUAGGAUUAUGGUUUUUGUAUGUACUUGUUAGAUAUCCGAAAUGGAUCGUGGGCACACGAACCGUAUAUCAAAAUAUGGUUCAUUCAGUAGAUUCAUGGAUAUGUUAUACAUAUAUGUAUACACAAAACCAUAUCAUCAUUCUGUGUAUAUAUAUACAAAUACAAGAUACAUAUUUUGAGCAAGGACUAUGUCUAUAUUUUUGUGAACAAGACAGAAUGUUUUAAAGAACGGAUUUUCAACGUGUUUUCUUCAAUGUUGGGUGAAAGAGAGAGUUACCGUACUGUUUGAGCAAGGGAGGGGGUGAGAGAGCGUCGGCUGUGGGCUUAUUGCUGCUGCCAGGGAGAGAGGUGGAGGUGGCGUCGCCUGACCUACGGGCAGCGGUCGCCUUCGCCGGGGAGACUAGAGGCCGAGGGAGGCGGCGGCUCCUCGUCGUCGCCAAGGAGGAAGGUGGAGGCGGUUUGGAGGCUGCUUCCGUCGGGUUCGGUGAGACAGAGGGUGAGGGACGGGAAACGGAGUGGUGGUUGGUCGUUGCCACAUCGUCGCAGCUCGAGAGGGAGAGAGAUGACCGAGGGUGUCGCCGUUUCUCCGGCGAGCUUCCGCGGCGUCGGAUUUUGUAGUGGUUUGGGGAUUUGGGUUUAGGCGGAGCUUUGGGGGAGAGAGAGGGAGAUGGGGAGGGGGGGCUGUUUUCGAGAGAGAGAGGAUGACCGGAAGCUAUGGCUUCGCUGAGAAUUUCAGGCGGCGGCGAGGCCUUGAGGAGAGGGAGUGCCGAUUGAUUUGAGCAUUGUGUGUGUUUUUCGAUUGUGAGAGAGAGAGAGAUCCGUUGUGUAUGUUGUCAGCGUAGGGUGAAUAUUGAAUAAGGAAGGAAGGAGUUUGGGCCAGGGUUCCUCUUUUAGGUGUGGGAUUGAGAGUGGGCCGAUAAUUGUUUAAAGGGUUGGGAUUUAUUUUAUUUCAGCUAGGCUUUACUUCUUGGGCCUUUUAAUUUAUUUUAGUUGGGAUGUGCAGAUUUCAUUAAAUGGGCUGCACUAUUUAUUUAAUUGGACUAUUAUUAGUUCAAUUAAUUAUUUUAAAGAAUAAUUUGCAUAAUAAU
rnacentral:lncRNA from 1 species